CCCCUCAGGGGCGAGGCGGGAGGCGCGAGCGCUGCCCCUCAGGCGCGUGAGGGUCCCCUCAGGGGCGAGGCGUGAGCCCCGCACAUCCCUUCAGGCUGUUCCCCGAGGCUCCGUCUGGAUUUUGUCGCUGCAACUGUUAGUUGGCUCUUGCCGUAAUUGAUGGACACUGCCAGUUGCUUAGACAGAUGGGAAUUAAUGCUGGUGUUCCCAUUAGAACUUGCCAUCACAAUCGCGUUGGCGUUACUCUCCUGCGCAGAGUUGAUGUGUGUAAACCGGUGUGUUUGGAAGGAGCAAGCACAGCUCAUACCUGCAGUCCUUCUUUCCAAUGUAUUGGGGCCGCCGAUCCAACACAGAGCAGAUGAACUGCUUGCCAGCAGCUUACAGAACACUUCACAAUGGUAAGGAAAAUGCUUCAUUCCUUCAUGUUCAGAGGAGCGUGGUUCAGCGAGCUGGACUGUCAUCCCCGGAGGCGUCUGUGAGCUGUAUUCAGAGGGUGUUGCAGGGCCUUGUAUCCCAGUCACCUCCUCUGGAUCUCCAGUGACCUGGCACAGCCACAGCAGGACCUCCCAGGUGACUACUGUGAGGCACAGCCAGAGGUGAAGACAGAGCAGGAUGGUCCCUCCCACUUCCACUGACUGACAGCAAACCCAGCUUCUAUGAGAAGAGCCACUCCUGCCGGGAUGAGCACCUAUGAGGCCACCAGGACGGACCCUCCUGAGGGCAGCCGCAGCCCAGGUCACAGGGUGAGGCCAUGAUUCCACUGACCAGGAGCAUCCCUCUGGAGGAAGCACUGCUAUCCACAGGGUUCAGAUCCAGGCUUCUUUUGGCCUUUCAGCACAACAGAACUCUGGUAAAUUCAGGAUUGAUAACUGUGUUAAUCUCUUGCCUGUCAGUCACUAUUUUAACUAAAGGGGCAGGUGUGUCUUCCACAAAGGAGGACUUUUUUCCUUUAGGGAGGCCACAGGACAAAUAUUUUCUGGUAUUUAGUGCAGUGCUUCACUCAGCAGGAUGCAUCACUUUGUGCUGGGGACCAAUCCUGAACUCUGGCUGAACAGGGCAGACAGAAAGGAAUACUCUUACAGGUGCUUUCCUCCACUUGCUCUAACUGUGAAUUGAAGAAUUUUAACAGUAAUACAGGUCUAUUCUGGAAGUUUAAGAGACAUUUUUGUGCCGGUUAAGCUCUCUAGUCUAUACAAACAAAUAACCACUUAACAAAUGGCAGUGGCAAUAUUUUAGCAGGAAACAUUUAAGGGAAAGUGGUGCUCCAGCUUCCUUCUCAUACUUAGUUUUGCAUUUCCUUGCAAUUGCAGCAAUUUAGAAGAUCCAAUGUAAACAUUGACUUGGCUAAGUGCUACUGAAGUUUCUUUUUUAAAACCCUCAGUCGACAAUUUCUUGAGCAUAAUAAUUUCCCCUUUUCCCUGAAUACACACCACCAAACUACCUCUGAACAAGAAGUGAGCUGAUUCUUCCACUGUAACAUCGGUUACUGCUGGGGCACUUAGAUUUUCAGUCUAGGAAGUGCACUACCUGUAAGCAGGUACAGUAAUCUUUCUCCGAGAUUACUUGAUAUGAACAUACUAAGAUAACUUGUUAUUUCUCUGUGCAUUUCACCAUUUUGCAGUGAUUAAAAAGGAAACUAGAGGAGGAAGUGCAGAAGAACCACAAAGCUAACUGGUGACAUGGCCCCACCUCAGAGGACUCAGCACUGUCAGUGUCUCUCACACUGCAGGUAGUGCUGGUGGCAGUCACCAUGCAGAAUAUAAUGCUUUUGUGUAAUGCAGAGAUGCUCAAAAAGUAACAGUUUAAACAGAUGUUUGUGUUAACUCUGAACCCAUUAAUUGCAAAGAACCUUUAAAGCAAAUACUAAUAGGCUUAAAACUAAAAACAAGUACGAGUGUUUUCCUUUUUAAUAGGCUGUUUUGUACAUGAAAGUACCAGCUGAAAGCAUUCUGCACUUCUGCUCUAUUCUGAUUCUUUUAGAAUGAGCUAUAAUCCUUUCUCCCUUUUUACCCGUUGCACCUAUUUGCACCCUGAUAGGGCAAAAUCUUCACUACAACUGCCACAGGCUAUUUGUGGACUUAAAAGACAUUUGUGUGCAUAAAUGUGCACAGGAUCAGAGUCUCAGCCACCAUCGUAUUGCGACAAGCUCAAAGAAUCCAGAACCCUGAUCACCUUUUGGUGCUAAACUAUGAGUUGGAAAAUAAACACAAGGAUUUAGAGGAAAGACCAGAACCCUGGGGCUGAUGCUGUGACUCUGCAUGAGGCUGUGUUCCCAGGCAGCCCUAGACUCCUGGGAAGUGGGGUUCGGUACAGACCCCUAGACACUGAACUGGUUUAUGAGAGUACCCCAAACUGCUGUGGCUUAGUCUUCUUUGCCCCUUUAAUAAAAAAAAGAAGAAAGUCUAGCUAGGAGCAUGGACGCAGGGUAAUGCAUCAUUUAUAAAUUACCUUGUUAGUGCAGAAAACAACACAUGGCUCUGCAGCCGAAAUCUCCUGCUGCGGACUCGCUCUGUUUGAUGGGAGCCCUUCAAAAGCAUUGGUGGCUUAAUGGAGGCAGUUUGUGGGGACCUCGCUCCGUACCUGCUGUCCCUGUGCCUCGCCGGGAGCUCGGCGGCAGCUGCCGCGGCGUGCAGCUGUCUCUGAAGUGGCUGCGUGUCCUCAGCCCCAGCACAGGCAGCCUGCAUUGGAUCUGUGUUUGUGCCUGAGGCGAGCUGGGGAGCGCAGCUGUGUCCACCCCGCGCUACCUUUGGUGUUGGGGCCCCCGGGCCCCGCGCCGCCCCGACCUGCCCCACGCGCUCCUGCAGCUGCCGCCGCCCGCGCUCCCACGGCGCCGGGCCCGCCACAGCUGUGCCCACAACCUGCCCGCUCGCACCUGUGCCGUGCCUGCCUCCAACAGCGUGGCUCGGAGGACUUCAGCCACCAUCAGAGCCUCCCGGAGCAGCUCCGAGCCACCCUCGGCACUGCCGGGCACGUGGCACCAGUGGGACAGGACAGGGAGGCAGGAACAGCUUGCUCUGCUUUGAUACUUCAUGCCUAAAUUGCAACUGCUUGAUCAAGGACUCAAAUUCAGCAAUGAAUUCUUCUACAAAUGCAAGUACUGAGUUCUUCAACAGCAAAAGAAGGAAGAUUAAACAGAACAACUCCAUGGCUGCUGUUUCCAAGGUAAGUGUUGCGUGUCUCGCCGAGCACACACAUGCACUGACACAAACUCAGGGGUGCACCAUGGCAUCCCUACUCAGCACCCUAGGAACAAGGAAAAAUAUGUCAUUUUUUCCCUAAGAUACUCAACACCAUGCAGACAGAAAUGGCACUCUUGCAGUGCCACAGGUCACACCCGACCCACCAUUUGGUUAGUACAAAUCCCACUCCUUUUUCUAAGAGCUGUCUCUCUGCUUUCCACAAACCAAGGUGCUAGCCAGUGUUCCUCCUGUCAGGCCCAGAGAAGUCAGGUGUCUGACUGCACAAUGGCUCAGCAAAGCCUUCUCUAAAGGCAAUCCUUACAGUAAUUCCCUGCCUUUUAGGGUCAGAAAUCCCCAAAACAGGGCCCGACUGACACUUUUUUUAGCCUUUUCAGGCACCACUUCUGCUGUGUUCCUGUUUACAUUGAGUUUACCUGUUAAACUGUAUUGUGCCAGGUAUUUGGUGUGUAGAUUCGCUGUUGUUAAUGCUGCUCCAUGUCACACGCAUCCUUCAUGUAUACAGUGAAUAACUAGCCAAGGUAAGAAUGCUAACACUUGGCCAUUCUGCUGCUUCCACCAGUUGUCUUAAUUAAUUCUCACCUUUUCUUCCUUUACAACAGCACUGAACUUCAUACCAGGAAAAUAAUCAAAAUUCUCAUUACCUCCCAUUCUACCACAGAGCUGCCCAGCCCAGCCGUCCCUUGCCCACCCCGCGCCGCACACCAACCUCGUCUCCUUGCUGGGGCCGCAUCAGCGAGACUCUGUCGUACUGCCGCCGCAGCAGCGCCCACAGCGCGUCAAGCCGGCCCUGCGGAGACAGCACGGGCGUCUGUCAGCGGGGAGCACACCUCACCUGCACCGGGACUGGCCACAGGGAUCCCAGGGACACCAAGGACACAGCCAGGGAAGCUGCGAGAGCAAUCAAGUUGCUGGAGGAACAGCAGAAGAACAGAGGACAGAGAAGCAGUGAAAACCAGACAACUGUGUUGCCACACAGACUGCAAACAGGGAAGAAAUGUCAUGACUAGUGCAGCAGUUUUGUUGCUGGCCACAGCACAGAAACCACCUCUAACUGCCAGGAAACCAGGCACUGCCAGGGAAGCAGACCCAGAAGGAAGGAAGAACAGGUCAUGCCUGGGCCUAAUGCUGCCCCUCUCCUUGAGGACACUGCCCUGAAGCCCAGGACUACAGAGCCACAAGGGGCCCUUCCAGGUGAUGUCCGAGCCUCAGGGGCAGCAGAGAGGGGCAGGAACAGAGGCACAGCACAAGAACCCAAGGAGCAGCCAGCAAGCCCAAAGAAAGGCAAGGCUCAUGAUAUAAAGUGGGAGCAAAGUGACUGACAGAAACCUCCCUGUAUUUCUGAUGUUGGGCCUGUGCCGUGGAGAACGAGACACGAGAGAGGCUUUUUAUUACAGAAGAGGUCAUUGUUCUCGUCUCAGGAGCCCCAGACCGUGAGGGUGCAGAUGGAGGCUGAGGACUUCCUGCCCUCACACAGCUUGGGGCCCCCGGACCCCCCGGAUUAUGGGAGCUGCACAUGGUCAGGAUCUGUGUUUCCCACCCCUGAGUCCCAGUGCGGUGGCUGUUCCCCACGGUCUGUACUCACCACUUUGCAGCACAGGGGCCAGAACCACCAGAGCAGGCCGAGUGCCACCAGCAGCAGCAGCACGAGGACGGCAAUGAGCGCUGCCACACCACUGGACUGCAGAGAGAGCAGGGACAGCGUCAGCACGGGCUGCACAACUCUGCCUGGCUCACACACUCACCCCAAAGCCCAGGAUUAGUUCUGCUCAAGUCAGGGGUGCAUUCUCACGUGAAACCAAUAUAAAACUGAUACUCCUGAGAUCGGACUCAGGCCAAGCUGGAUGAAAAGGGAGAGUGCAUUGACUGCUAAGGAACGAGCCAUUAGACACAGGCAGGGGAAGUCUCCUAAACCUGUGGAUGAGAAGUGCCCUUCUCCUCCAUGAGGACACAGGUUACUGAUCUACAGGCAAAAGCAAUCCUGUUGGAGAAAUGCAGGCUGACGAGCAGAAGGGACUGUUCUCCGUGCUCCACGCCUGAUGGGAAAGCUGCUCUCUCAUCACACUUCAGAUGAGACACAUUUAAAGGCACACGGAGCCCAUGCACAGCACGUGUUAAACACUGGGGGCUUGUGUCUCCCUGCACAAAUCCCAACUGUCCUGCCCACGUAAUGGAGAGCAGACAUGCAAGACUAGAAAAUUGUAUUAAUCUAUUGAUUGUAUAAAGGUACUAAGUUCAAACAGUCCCUCUCUGCAUAAGUGUGUGGUUUGUCCCAGAAGCAGUUUUAACUCUUUUCCAUAACCUGUGAUCAGACUCAGCAGGAUGUUCACCCUGCCUUACCCCCAGGUGUAACUGGGGUGCUCCGGCCUGUGCUUGGACUGCCUGUCUCCCCAAAUUAACAGAGUUAAGAGCCUACACUCGUUACUCAGGCUCCAGAGUUACAGAGCAUCAGUACCCUCCUGCAGGACUGUAACGGCCCUCCACACCCAGGCUGAAGUCCCAAGGUUCUGCCUACUCUGCUCCCCCUCCCUCACUCAGGGAAGCCAGGCUGAAAUGGGACCCCCGGUGACUGUGUCACACCUGCCCCUUGGGACGUGGUUAUAUUUACAGUGAGCAGGUCUCUGAGGGCAGGGAAGCCUCCCAGUAUUUUGAAAGCCACAGCUUUCCACAGGGAAGUGGAAUCAGAGAUUCCCUGCACUGAGAGGUCCCGCAAUGGCCAAGCCCUAAGAGAAACGGGAUUUGGGAAUUUUACACAGGAUUGUGGUGGUCUUUUACUUACACACUCCGAAGCAGUGAUGGUUAACGAGCUGGACAUGAAAGACUGGCCUUCCUUCAAACUCACCAAAACCUCCAGGGUUCUGCAAAGAGAGAGAGAAAAAACAUGAGCGACCGUGGAGCAGUCAAGAAAGGCUCACACCUGCUCCAGAGGCACCUAUAUCUGAAGCCUCUGCUCCACAGAGAGUGUCCCCAGAGGGGAAAUGGAGGCCUGUGCUUCUUCUUGUUUGGGAGUAAGUUUGGUCUCCUUGACAGAGCUAUAUGAGUAGAGACUAUCCCUCCUCUUUUUCGUGCAGCAUAAAAUACUCCCAAAAGUUUUACAUAAAAUAAAUUGAAGUUCAACUGUAAAAUCGGCAUUGUUUUGUCUGUUCCAUAACCAUCUCUUUAGUCACAUGCAGGCAUUAUGGAUAAAAAUGUCGGAUAAUUAUAGAUGGUCAGGACUUGCUAUAAAUAGCCCCAAACACUGCAUACAAAUGGUAUGUGGUUUACAUUUUACAAAUUAACCCUACAAGAAAACAACACAUGGUGGAUGUUAAACAGAAGAAGACUCUUCUCUGGCUUGGAUUCCCAGGAUUCAGACAGUUUAUAUUAUGCAUAGAUGUAAUUAAAUAAAAAUAUAGAUAUCCAUGAACUAAAAUGAUUAAUCAUUUAUACCAUUCUUACAUGUCAUGAGUUUUUAUUCUGGCACAAACGCUUUAGUCAAUAUGGAGUUCAAAGCUAUUUUAACUAAUUUGGCUAAUUUCUUCUUCAUUGGUAGCAAAAAUGAAGUGAGUUGCUUCCACUAAACUAAUUUUUAAAUUAUCUGUGUCAUGAAUAAUUGAUCCAACAGAAAGAAUAACUCUAAUUUCUUUCUAAUUAUUACUGGAAUAAGUGAAUCAGAACAGAUAAAAAAAAAAUCUAUUCUCUUGCAGCACACUAAAUAAAACAAACUACACCAGAAAUUUUGUCAGACGUGAA